CGCUGGCGGCAUGCCUUACACAUGCAAGUCGAACGGCAGCACGGGGGCAACCCUGGUGGCGAGUGGCGAACGGGUGAGUAAUAUAUCGGAACGUGCCCUGGAGUGGGGGAUAACGCAGCGAAAGUUGCGCUAAUACCGCAUACGAUCUACGGACGAAAGUGGGGGAUUCGCAAGAACCUCAUGCUCGUGGAGCGGCCGAUAUCUGAUUAGCUAGUUGGUAGGGUAAAAGCCUACCAAGGCAUCGAUCAGUAGCUGGUCUGAGAGGACGACCAGCCACACUGGAACUGAGACACGGUCCAGACUCCUACGGGAGGCAGCAGUGGGGAAUUUUGGACAAUGGGGGCAACCCUGAUCCAGCAAUGCCGCGUGAGUGAAGAAGGCCUUCGGGUUGUAAAGCUCUUUUGUCGGGGAAGAAACGGUGAGGUUUAAUACACUUCACUAAUGACGGUACCCGAAGAAUAAGCACCGGCUAACUACGUGCCAGCAGCCGCGGUAAUACGUAGGGUGCAAGCGUUAAUCGGAAUUACUGGGCGUAAAGCGUGCGCAGGCGGUUAUGUAAGACAGAUGUGAAAUGCCCGGGCUCAACCUGGGAACUGCAUUUGUGACUGCAUGGCUAGAGUGUGUCAGAGGGGGGUAGAAUUCCACGUGUAGCAGUGAAAUGCGUAGAGAUGUGGAGGAAUACCGAUGGCGAAGGCAGCCCCCUGGGAUAACACUGACGCUCAUGCACGAAAAGCGUGGGGAGCAAACAGGAUUAGAUACCCUGGUAGUCCACGCCCUAAACGAUGUCUACUAGUUGUCGGGUCUUAUUGACUUGGUAACGCAGCUAACGCGUGAAGUAGACCGCCUGGGGAGUACGGUCGCAAGAUAAAACUCAAAGGAAUUGACGGGGAC
rnacentral:rRNA from 1 species